UGUCGGUAUCCGGAUAUCGGAUAAAGGGAAUUCGAUCUGGGCUGCAUGCCCAUCAACCGAAGCUGCCCCCGCAACUGUAGGCGGUGAGCGUUUUUCUGACCAAUGCCACUGGGAUGAACCCGGGAAGGCCAGGAAAAGUGCUUUGACCCGCGAGCCAGGAGACCUGCCGACAU
rnacentral:ncRNA from 1 species